GGGUUCACCCAUUGGUCAGGCUUAAUUGUCUGCACUGGUGAGAUGAAUCUCUACCUUCUGAGGAACUUUCAUGCCAUUCAUUUGGUGUGAUGGGAAAUCAGGACUGUUACUUUGAAAAAAUUAGAGUGUUUAAAGCAGACUAUUGUCUGAAUACAUUAGCAUGGAAUAAUGAAAUAGGACGGACUGAUUCUAUUUCGUUGGUUUCUAGGAUCACCGUAAUGAUUAAUAGGGAUAGUUGGGC
rnacentral:rRNA from 1 species